GAAGCAGUCCAUUGUCUCUUUACGAAUCAGUAAUCAUGAUGUGGCGCGCCUUCCUGCUGGUAUUAGUUGUGUUAGUGGUGAUGACUGCUACCGUUUACGCUGACCCGCGCAGACACGGCGGAAGCGGUGGCGGCCUAGGCGGUGGCGGUGGCCUAGGCGGUGGCGGUGGACAUGGAAGCGGUUUUGGCGGCGGUGGAGGAUUCGGAGGCGGUGGAUACGGCAAAUAACACGACCACCACCACCAAUGACGACCACUCUGCCACCACCACCACCACCACCACCACCACGGACUACCCCUGCUCUCUUUCCUCCCUUCCCUCCUUCCCUUCCUUUUCAGAACCCAAAUUCCUAAAUAUUAGAAUUAUUGUCAUUAAAUUUGUAACUCUGAUUUAGCUAGAGACUCUCUCUCUCUCUCUCUCUCUCUCUCUCUCUCUCUCUCUCUCUCUCUCUCUCUCUCUCUCUCU